AACGAACGCUGGCGGCACGCCUAACACAUGCAAGUCGAACGAAGCAUAAGAGCUUGCUCUUAUGACUGAGUGGCGCACGGGUGAGUAACACGUGGGAAUCUGCCUAUUGGUGGGGAAUAACUUUUGGAAACGAAAGCUAAUACCGCAUAAGCCCUAAGGGGGGAAGAUGUUAUCGCCAAUAGAUGAGCCCGCGCUGGAUUAGCUAGUUGGUGAGGUAAGAGCUCACCAAGGCUACGAUCUAUAGCUGGUCUGAGAGGAUGGUCAGCCACACUGGGACUGAGACACGGCCCAGACUCCUACGGGAGGCAGCAGUGGGGAAUAUUGGACAAUGGGGGAAACCCUGAUCCAGCGAUGCCGCGUGAGUGAAGAAGGCCUUCGGGUUGUAAAGCUCUUUCAGAGGGGAUGAUAAUGACGGUACCCUCAGAAGAGGCACCGGCUAACUUCGUGCCAGCCGCCGCGGUAA
rnacentral:rRNA from 1 species